rnacentral:rRNA from 1 species
UACGUAGGCAGCGAGCGUUGUUCGGAGUUACUGGGCGUAAAGGGUGUGUAGGCGGUUGUUUAAGUUUGGUGUGAAAUCUCCCGGCUCAACUGGGAGGGUGCGCCGAAUACUGAAUGACUUCGAGUGCGGGAGAGGAAAGUGGAAUUCCUGGUGUAGCGGUGAAAUGCGCAGAUAUCAGGAAGAACACCCGUGGCUAAGGCGGCUCUCUAGUACGUGACUGACGCUGAGACGCGAAAGCGUGGGGAGCGAACAGG